UUGAAGCUGUCCAAAUCACACAGAACCACAGGAGAUCUCAAAACGAUAAGUUGUUGUCAAUAUGGCGGCACAGAGUAGAAUAUUGAUUAAGUUUUAAGGGAGGCAGGGGUUUUAGGCAGGAUUUGAUGCAUGAUGUGUGUGUAGAUAUUAAUGUUAGGGGACAAUGUGAGAGAUGUGUACGUUUUAGUAGGAAAACGUAUUAUAUGAUCUACACUCCGAAACAGAAGAGGGCGGUAAUGCACCAAUAAUCUGGAUGCCAACUGCCGUUAAACUGGAAAGAAGAAUAUGAGAGCUUGCUGUGAGAGACAAAGGAACAGAUGAGACACACGUGUGUUUAUCUGCUGUAGAGACACUGAUGAAGGAAUGCUGCCAGCAAAUGAGUUGUAUCUUUUGUGGAGGAGCAGGACCUGCAAGGAAAGGACAUGAAAAUGUCUGUAGACUGGUGUGUGCACUGACGAUGGAGAAAACCACAGCAUCAUCCUGGAAAUGAUCGAGAGUCACAGAUGAGACGCUCCAUCACUCCACCUGCCCUUUACUGUCUCAUCAGGACCAGAAAAUUAAUGUAUUCACAUCGACUGCAUUUAUUUAACUAUAUAUUCAUGUAUAUGUCACAAAAGGAAAUACAAUUUGCUUCUUUUACUAAAAUGUCUUUUAAAAAAUAUAUAUAAUUAUUGGUUGGCAUUUAUCUUUAUUAUUGCAUGUAAGUGUUGGGGUGGGCAAAAGAUGCAAUUCAUAAUGGGGUAAUGUUAAUUUUCGAGUAGUAAUACUUACAUUUUUAGAGUAUCAAAUCAACGGUCUUCUCCAAAGGUGAGAUCUUCGAGCAGCUGAUUGAAGUACACUUUGUGCAGAUAACGCUGUGAGGAGUUAGUGCACCUAAUCCUAUUUUUUAUUAUUAUUGCCAAAUUAUUACAUAAAAGAUAAUGGUAAGAGGU